rnacentral:rRNA from 1 species
GUGAGGAAUAUUGGUCAAUGGGCGCAAGCCUGAACCAGCCAUGCCGCGUGCAGGAAGACGGUCCUAUGGAUUGUAAACUGCUUUUAUUUGGGAAUAAACUCCGGUACGUGUACCGGCCUGAAGGUACCAAAUGAAUAAGCACCGGCUAACUCCGUGCCAGCAGCCGCGGUAAUACGGAGGGUGCAAGCGUUAUCCGGAAUCAUUGGGUUUAAAGGGUCCGCAGGCGGUCUUAUAAGUCAGUGGUGAAAGCCUACAGCUCAACUGUAGAACUGCCAUUGAUACUGUAGGACUUGAAUUCGAUCGAAGUGGGCGGAAUGUGACAUGUAGCGGUGAAAUGCUUAGAUAUGUCACAGAACACCGAUAGCGAAGGCAGCUCACUAGGUCUGGAUUGACGCUCAGGGACGAAAGCGUGGGGAGCAAACAGGAUUAGAUACCCUUGUAGUCC